CCCAUUGUUCAUAAACCCAGGACAAAUUAGCUAGCAACAGCAAGCUACCUACAUUUCCAUAAAUGUUUAAUGAUUUUUGACCUUGUGAACGCUGCGUGUAACACAUCCGGUGUUAGGAUAAAUAAAAAGCAAGGUCUGCUAACUUUCUUUAAUUAUGUUUAAUUAUCGCAAACAAUGAAUGGCAAAUGCAAUUUUCGUAUAUACGGGUUCGCUGUAUCACCGCGCAGGGUAAACAGGGAACUGGCAGGAAGUACGUAAACAGCUGUUCUUAUACCGUGAUGACGUAGUUUCAACGCGUCUGUUGGCCUAUCACAGUAGAGGCUGAACGCGGACUCUUGCUCUGCCUUUGGGGGCAGCCGACAAGUCCCUGAGUGCUUUCCUUUGUCCACAUCUGGUUGCUGGGUAGAUUAGCUCCGUCUUGUCUCCCCUUUGAAUCUUCACUCAAACAAUUCCUAAUAUGGUACUGAUCCGUCUCCCAACCUACCUGGUUGGCCUAGAGUGAUGCACCACUCCCCUCUCCAGACUGACCACAGCUUUUAUGGCCUGUGUUGGUCAGUCCUUACACACACACCCAUCUGUAUUGUUUGUGUGUGUGUAACAAAACAAUAUUCAUCUUCAAACAAUAUGCUAACAGGCUAUAGUGUGUAACGGAUGUGAAAUGGCUAGCUAGUUAGCGGCUACGCGCUAAUAGCAUUUCAAUCGGUUACAUCACUUGCUCUGAGACCUGAAGUAGGGUUUCCCCUUGCUCUGCAAGGGCAGCGGCUUUUGUGGAGCGAUGGGUAACGAUGGGCGACUGUUGUUGAUGUGUGCAGAGGGUCCCUGGUUCGCGCCCGUGUCGGGGCGAGGGGACGGUUUAAAGUUAUACUGUUACAAGUGCAUAAACAUAAAUCCUAACAACCUGUCCCCAAAUUAAUAUAAUUGGUUCAGAGUUUGUUUUGGUAUUUCAUUGUGUGUAGCCUGGUCGUAUCUAGGGUGGGGGUACAAAAUCAACAUGCGCGCGUCCGGUUUGGGCAGCAUGUUAGACCCUGCAGCUGUCUGGUUUAAAUUAACUAAAACAAAAGUGGGAAAACUUAGGGGACAUCCCAGCAUGGACCAGGAAAUUCCAGUAUGAUGUAAUUGCAAUUCUGGGUGUUUCUUGGCAAAGGGUUAGGUUUCUGUACAGCACUUUGAGAUAUCAGCUGAUGUAAGAAGGGCUUUUUAAAUACAUUUGAUUUGAGUUUAGCUAAAUGCUACAGUUGUCAACAGCUGUUGUCCCCUGGCACAAAAUACAUGGCCAAAUCAAAUUGUAUUACUCACAUGCGCCGAAUACAACAGGUGUAGACCUUACAGUGAAAUGCUUACUUACGAGCCCCGUAACCAAAAUGCAGUUAAAAAAAAUUCAGUUAAGAAUAAGAUAUAAAAGGAUCAAGUAAUUAAAGAGCAGCAGUGAAAUAACAAUAGCGAGACUAUAUACAUGCGGGUACUGAUACAGAGUCAAUGUGCGGGGGCACCAGUUAUUUGAGGUAGUAUGUACAUGUAGGUAGAGUUAUUAAAGUGACUAUGCAUAGAUGACGACAGAGAGUAGCAGUGGUGUAAAUGGGGGGGGCACUGCAAAUAGUCUGAAAAUGGGUAGUGUUAGGGUUCGUUCCUUACGUCCUUCUUUGUCAAUUAUUCUAAUACACCAAACAUUUGUACAGCCCCAAUCAUGACCCCUAGGUAAAUCCUAACAGUAGCCAUUUGACUAAAUGGAAGAAUGCACUUUUACAUUUUUAUUUUAUUUAACCUUGCAGACUAUUGCGACGAUAGAGGGAGCCACCAACAUCCACCAGGUAAGAACGUGGUGCAACUCUCUGUAGGCAUGUGCCCAGCCUCCAAAGUCCUGUGUGGUCUCCCGGCAGCGGUUUCAUCCUUAUAGUUUCACCCACCUCCAGCUCUGGUAGGUCUCGAGCAGUCAGGUCGUAGAAGCACUUAGCGAGCUGCUUUCUGUGACGCAGUUUCUCCGUGACGCCAACCAUGACGCAGGGCUCAAGUAGCUUGUUAGCUACGGGGAUAGUAGUCUUCAGACGUCUGGACAAAAGGCGUUGUGCUGGGCUGCUGUCCAUGUUUUCGGUGGGUGUGUUCCUCCACUGUAAGAUCGCUUUCCAUGGGUCGUUGCUGUCGCGCAUGGCCCUGCUUAACAGGUUUUUUUGCAAUCUUGACAGCUGAUUCUGCCUUGCCAUUUGCUUUUGGGUGUCUUGGAGAGGAGGUCACGUGGUCAAACUCCCAUUCUGAGGGGAAACGCUUGAACUGUGCAGUUGGAUAAAGGAAUAAAGACAGACACCAAUGUCAAGUUCAACAGCCUUGUUAAGCAUUGUACAAAUCCCUACGCGUGGAGUCUGGGGAACAGUCCAGCUAGUCGAUUACCUACGAAGAGGAGUACCGUUACAGAACUUCCCACCAACCAAGGACCAAGCAGCGUGGUAACCAGGAGCAGAGGGUUCUGGACUCCUGGAUUUGGUAGGAGAUACUAGGCGGUAAGGGACCCUGGCCACAGGCUGGGGAAUAUUGACGCACCAAGGAAGAACUGGAGGCAGCGAAAGCUGAGCGGCGGCGCUAUGAGGUAAGGCAGCGCAACAGGCACGAGAAGCAGCCCCCCCAAUUUUUUGGGGGGUGGCACACGGGAAGAUUGGCGGAGUGUGCCUUUCCAAAUCAUGUCCAAUCAAUUGAAUUUACCACAGGAUGAGCCUGAGCUUAAUUUCAAGUCUCAGAGCAAAGGGUCUGGGUACUUAUGUAAAUAAGGUAUUUCUGAUAUUAUUUUUAAUACAUUUGCAAAAAUGUCUAUAAAACCUGUUUUUGCUUUUUUGUUAUGGGGUAUUGUGUAUAGAUGAGUAUUUUUUGUUAAAUUUAAGUCAUUUCAGAAUAAGGUUGUGUCGUGUCUUUGGCUAUGCCGGAUUAAGUGAUAUGAGGUAAUUAAUAUUACCUGAUUGAGCUAAUCAUGUAAAUGCAAUUAUCUAAAAAGUCGGGGCACCGCGAAAGAAUAUUCAUAGAGCUGUUAUCUUCCGAAUAAACUCUAAAGACCUAGUAAUAUUUUACAUCAAUAGCAGUCAAUAUUAAUCGUCACCUUAUUUGUCUCAUCUGAAAGUUGUAAAUUCUUGGUUAUCUUCACGAACCCUGGCUAACAAGUUGAAUCAGCAAUACAAAAUUGGGUUUAAUUAUUUAUUUACUAAAUACCUAACUAAUCUCACAGAAUUACAUAUACACAGAAUGAAUCAUACCUUGAUUAUAAAUUACGUCAUAAAGGAAAACGUCCCUAGCAAACGGAACAGAUAUGACAGCUGGUUACACAAAGAAAAGGGGGAUUGGUUGGAGUGAAAGAGCGAGAAGAAGAACAAAGGGAGAAGCGAUGUCUCUAUCGCAAAUACAGCAUCUUAUGCAUUCUAAAUUACCGCCCAUUUGGAAAAGGAAAAUGCAAUAAAUAUUUACUCUGAGCUGCGCUUCGGUAGGUUGGUGGUAGAUGGAAGGCCGUGUUGCCCAACCGAGUCCUUUGAAGAAUGUCUCUGGUGGUAAAUUGAAUACGUUGUAGUAACGUUGUUGUGUGGUAGACGGGAUACUCUGUCUGUUCUUUCCUAGCCCACAUUUGCAGCUGCUGUUGCUAAAUCAACGGCUAGCAGGUAUCACUUAUGUAGUGAAUAAGAGUUCAAAGUUCAUAACAUUCGCAACCAAAGCUCACGCUGAGGUUGGCUUAGUUCUGUAGUUGACAUGUUAGUCCUUUUAACGCAGAGGCUGCAGACCUCACGUACUUGUAACAGAAGGUUACAUUUUCGUCAAGGCUUUAUAUAGGAAGGGAGAAGAGGGCGUGUUUGAAAAGUUUUAUAACCCAUGUCUCUUCACAGGGGCGGGCCACUGAUUGAGCAGAGCCCAAACCUUAUGAAAACCCACAUCUCUCAUUUGGAAGCUAAAAUUACAUUUAAUCUCUUCACAAAUAAUUUUAUAUUCAAACAUUUAAAUUGAACAACAAUUCCAUGUGACUCCGAUAACUACAAUGUGCAGACUUUCCACUGUAGAGUUUAUGUCAUCCUAUCAUUGAGGAGAAUGUCUCAGAUGACAACCAAACUGACAUCAUAUUCAUUAAGUACCAUCGCAUAUGUUCGAUUGGUCGGAUUACCAGAAUAUAGUUAAUUUCCCCCCACCUUCUGAUGUUCCCAGAAUCUCUAUGUUAACCAAAUGAUUUUCAAAUGUCACAUCAGUAGGGUAGAGAGAGGAAAAGAGGGGGAGAGGUAUUUAUGACUGUCAUAAACCUACCCCCAGGCCAACAUCAUGACAGUUGUAACGUAACAUAAUGUGGAAAAGGGGAAGGGGUCUGAAUACUUUCCGAAUGCACUGUAGCUUAGUAAACCGCCCCUUAUUCAAUGCACAAAAAUGUAAGAGGGUAAUUCUACCCCAAUGCAUACUGAGUGUUGGAGUGAGUGUUGGAGUGUGACCCUGGAGUGUGACCCUGGCUAGCAGUAAAAAAAUAUAUAAUACAAAAUCUUGUUGUCUGGUUUGCUUCAAUAGGGAAUGUGAAAUUAUUUAAACUUUUACUUUUGAUACUUAAGUAUAUUUUAAACCAAAUACUUUUAAUCAAGUAGUAUUUUACUGGGUGACAUUCAUUUUUACUUCAGUCAUUUUCUAUUAAAAGGCAUCUUUACUUGUAUGACAAUUGGCUACUCAAAGAUCCUACCCUCAAGACAUGCUAACCCCUCACCAGUACCAAUAACAGGGGAGGUUAGCAUGUCUUGGGGGUAUGUUCUUUGACCCUCUGUAACUUUCUCACUCAUAACAACCAUAAUAAUGUAUGAAGUGUGCAGUUUACCUUGUCUUCCUGACUGGACGUUAGAAGUGAACAAACCGAGACUCAAAAACAGCAGAAGCAUUUUGCCAUGUGUCCUAAAGCACAAAGAACAAAUACCACAAAACAUGAAUAGCUUAUACAUGAACGUACAUUAACCUACAUCAGAUUGGACAUAGGCCUAGUGCUUGAAUCAUACAGUCUAUGUCUUGAAGGGACUGGAAUUAACCACAGCCCUGAUCUGUAGUCGUGGCAACAGUGGAGUUGUAGUGAUAAUUAAGAACAGGUCAGGAUAAAUUCUGGGUGAAUCUGAAUAGUUUUAAAGUCCCACUCAAGGAGUUUUUUUAUUACUUUUCCCGUUGAAAGACAAUAUCCCAAGUAUAAAUACAGUAAUAUACACACACGUAAGCCUUAAAAUAGACAUUGAGCAAAAUAGAGCUUUUUAGACUGAACUCAAUGAGUUAAAAAAUACUUUGGCUUUAUAAAAUGGGUAUGAGAGGGUCUGAUUUGCAACCUGGAGCUCACCUGCCCCGAAACUCCUCCCCCCUGCAUGCAAUCUGCAAAGCCUGAACUUAUCCACACUACACCAAAAGGAUUUUUACAUAUAUGCAUUUUCCUUUCUCCACAGCCUUAGUAGGCCUACCAAAGAAACACCCAGAGUUCAGCUGAAUUCACCAUCUAACAGAGACUGUCAUUAGCGCUGAGGAAAACAAAAUAACCUUCUGAGAUUGAGUCCCUGACAGUAACCAUGAGAUGUCCGUCGAGGUGACGUGACUAACAAAUCCUGACACGCGUGUCUUAAGGGCAGACACUCACUCACUCACUCACUCGCUCGCUCGCUCACUCACUCACUCACUCACUCACUCACUCACUCACUCACUCACUCACUCACUCACUCACUCACUCACUCACUCACAAUAAUCUAAGUAGAUAAGUUACUGUACUUACAAGCUUACAGCCUCUGAAUGUUCUGCCAUCAAAUAAAGUUGUAUAGUGCAGUGUCCCAGAAAAUAACUGUGGGAAAAGAUUCAGUGGAGACAGUGGAUAGCCCUUUCACAACCUCUAACCUACUUGAUGUAAUCUGUGGAGAAGUCAUGUCACACAUUCUCUCACUCUCUCUGUUCUGUACAUCUCCCCGACAGUCCUAAUAUGGGCACUGAGGGAGGACAAAGCUACAGUGAAUUUACUUCCACCAAUGGUUUUUUCCCUGGACUUUUUCUUAGGCUGAGCUAAGUUUUCCUGACAGGAAAGAACCCCAGACUAAAGUGGAGUUUCCAGAGGUGAAAGAGACCCAGACUACACUACUAAAAUGCAAUGUUUACAUCACUUUACUUUUGUCAGAACAGAGGUGUAUGAUUUGAUGUGGAUGAUUUUCCAUACAUUUUCUCAAUUCUAGGAUCUAGAUUCUAUAGCAUUCGAGAGAGAGCGAGAUAUUCCCCGUCUGAUUUCAGAAUGAAUUCAAAUCAGACUGAUUUCCAGGUUAGAAUUGUUUUAAUAGCCAACAUGUGUGACAAUAUCAUCAUAGUUUAAAAACAUUUUUAUUUUAAAGGGGCAGUCUGCAAUUGGUACAUCCAUUAUUGGCCUUGUAAAUGAUUGAUACCUACCCAAUAAUUCUUGAAGAAUAUAACUUAUAAAUGCCUCAUCAGCUUAGUUCAACUGUCACACCCCAUCAGAACCCCAAAUAUGUUGUUUUAUUCCUUUGUUUGGAAACAAAGUAAAUGUAAACUAACUCUAUAUUGCCUCAAAACAUGGUUAAAACUAUAAUUGUUGUAUCAUGAGUGGUCAGCCCUUAUAUCCAUAGUUGAUCUAGGAUUUUGAGAGUGGUUCAAUUUCUCCAUCCCCAUUCCUCAUCUGUUUACCAAAUCAAUUGUUAUUGUCUGAACUGCAGAUUACCCCUUUUAAAAAACAACUUGGUCUUCCUUGUUUGAACAUGAACGAAACACAACACAACUUAAACGUGUUUUGUAUCGCUUUGAAGAGCUAGCUACACUAAAUAGCCUGAAUCAGGAGUUGUGGCCUGUACAGGUAUAACUCAUGGCCCUGAUUAUACACUCACCAGACAGUUUAUUAGGUACACCCAUCUAGUACCUGAUCGGACCACUCUUUGCCUCCAGAACAGUCUGAAUUCUUGGGGCAAGGAUUCUACAAGUCAAAAACUUUCCUCAGGGAUGUUGGUUCAUGCUGAAGCGAUAUCAUCGUGCAGCUGUUGCAGAUUGGGUGGCAGUGAAACCAUGCCCCCAAGAAUUCAGACAGUUCUUGGGGUAAAGAGGGGUCCGAUCCAGUACUAGAUAGCUGUACCGUUGACACCAGGCAGGUUGAGUCCAUGGAUUCAUGCUGUUUAUGCCAAUUCCUGAUUUCCAUUAGCAUGACACAAGAGGAACCUGGAUUUGUUAAACCAGGCAAUGUUUUUCAACUAACUGUUUUCACCCACAGGACUGCCGCUGACUGGAUGUUUUUGUUUGUCGCACCAUUCUCGGGAAACCCUAGACCAGGAGUCUCCAACCUUUACUAGCAUGACACUCUAGACCAGGAGUCUCCAACCUUUACUAGCAUGACACUCUAGACCAGGAGUCUCCAACCUUUACUAGCAUGACACUCUAGACCAGGAGUCUCCAACCUUUACUAGCAUGACACUCUAGACCAGGGGUCUCCAACCUUUACUAGCAUGACACCCUAGACCAGGAGUCUCCAACCUUUACUAGCAUGACACUCUAGACCAGGGGUCUCCAACCUUUACUAGCAUGACACCCUAGACCAGGAGUCUCCAACCUUUACUAGCAUGACACCGUAGACCAGGAGUCUCCAACCUUUUCUAGCAUGACACCCUAGACCAGGAGUCUCCAACCUUUUCUAGCAUGACACCCUAGACCAGGAGUCUCCAACCUUUUCUAGCAUGACACCCUAGACCAGGAGUCUCCAACCUUUACUAGCAUGACACACUAGACCAGGAGUCUCCAACCUUUUCUAGCAUGACACCGUAGACCAGGAGUCUCCAACCUUUACUAGCAUGACACCCUAGACCAGGAGUCUCCCACCUUUUCUAGCAUGACACCGUAGACCAGGAGUCUCCAACCUUUUCUAGCAUGACACACUAGACCAGGAGUCUCCAACCUUUUCUAGCAUGACACCGUAGACCAGGAGUCUCCAACCUUUUCUAGCAUGACACACUAGACCAGGAGUCUCCAACCUUUUCUAGCAUGACACCGUAGACCAGGGGUCUCCAACCUUUACUAGCAUGACACCCUAGACCAGGAGUCUCCAACCUUUUCUAGCAUGACACCCUAGACCAGGGGUCUCCAACCUUUACUAGCAUGACACCCUAGACCAGGGGUCUCCAACCUUUACUAGCAUGACACCCUAGACCAGGGGUCUCCAACCUUUUCUAGCAUGACACCCUAGACCAGGGGUCUCCAACCUUUACUAGCAUGACACCCUAGACCAGGGGUCUCCAACCUUUUCUAGCAUGACACCCUACACCAGGGGUCUCCAACCUUUACUAGCAUGACACCCUAGACCAGGGCUCUCCAACCAUUUCUAGCAUGACACCCUAGACCAGGGCUCUCCAACCAUUUUUAGCAUGAGAGCUUCUUGAAAAAAAUGAAAUAUGUUGCUAGUGACUCAUUUUUUUCUAGAUUUCAAAUAGUUACAUUAUUCUCUUAUCCUCUCCCCUGCAACUCUUCCCUGGGUCCUUAGUGUACAAGAGAAAGUAGUGCACUGUUUUCUGUCAAUAUACCUGUUUAAAUAAUGGUUAAUCAAAUCUGAGGUCGGCCCAUUUUAAAUAUGUGAUUUCUUCCCAAAUCAUUUUUUCUUCGUUUUAUUCUUCCUGGUUUUAGAUUUUUUGUUUGUUUUUCACUCUCAAAAUUACAGUUGUUCAUUGAGAAACUUCACACUUAGAUGUUCUGAGUCCAUGUCAAUACUUUAGCUGUGUGAACUGCCUGUCUGGAGCUGCUACACUGUGUUGAUUAGAACAGGGUGACCGUUCAGGUGGAGAUGAAAAUCCCGAGCCAAAGUUACCACUGCAGACCCGGAGUAGUGGUCCAGAAGGAGAAGUUGGUUGAAAGAAAAGCGAAGUAAAAGGUCAAGAUGAUGGAGGGAAUCUGUUCCUCUCUCUCGAGCUGGAAUGGGGGAAAAUGUGCACUACUUGCUGGAAGCAUGAAUCACGAUGUGAGUCAUGUGUCCAAAAUUGGAAUUAACAGUCCCCUGGGGCCCUUUGGUAAAUAUGCAAAUAGAUUUUAUUCACAAGCCUGCCUGUAACAGGAAAAAAGAUAUGUUGGUAAUGGAUGACAGUUACUCCAAAUGAAUUGAAGUUUUCCCCACUUCGAGUGAUAUAUGUGUAUUACUGUUGUUGUGUUGUUUUGUUUGUUUUUGUCAUGCUUCUAUACCAAGUCUCACCAGAUUUGGAUUAUCCCUCUGACUCCCUGACCUGUAACUCUGCAGUGAGAUCGCCAAAUGAUAGGGGAGUAUACGCCAAUUUGGGGGAGAGAAUGGUUUCAACUGUGUUUUGUUAUUGUUUUAGAAGUCUGGAUUUCCUGAAUUGUUCUGGUCUGUCCUCUCUCGAGGUGACGGAGAAGGUGACCACAGAUGGUAUCUAGAUGCAUGGAAGAUCAUUUGGCUGAGAGCAGGACAGUGUGAACUUCAACAUCCCCUCUAACUGGCUGAAAAUGGCGAAGAUGUUGUUCAGGGUGUGACAUGGGUCCAUGUGGAGUGAGCACGGAGAGAGAUCCAGUCCAAACUUCUCUCAUGCUGCUGGUGUACUGGUAGGAAAAUGGACAAGACAUAAUGGACUGUAAAGGACAGUGGCGCCUCAGGCGAGAGACAUUAUCAAGGGCCAUCCACUUUGAACAUGUGCCGUUGAAAGGA